rnacentral:lncRNA from 1 species
UUUGUGACAGUGGGUGUAUCCUUGCCAUCUCUUUUGGUUUAUGAUGAUGUAAUUCAUCUAUUGUAAUUAUCUUUCAUUAAUAAAGUUGUUAACAAUUGUAAAAAAGAAGAAAAAAAGAUAGUCAUACGCCAAAUGAACCACCUGACUAGGUUUUUUGUUGUGAGACGACAUGCACAAUUUGGUCCUAUUGAAGCACCAUAUAUAGGCAUUUGCAAUAAAAACUAAAGAUGAAAAAACCAACUACCAAACACGUACGAGAUCUAGUUAAGUCAAAUUUGGUUCCACUACUAAUUGGACCGGAAUUUCAAAUUGCUUCAUGGGGCUCAAUCGCAUGACUUAUGCUACGUGAGUAUGGCCAUUAAAAGGCUUUAUGAGUGAUUGUACAUGAAUGUAUAUAGUGGAACAUGAACUUAGUAGGAGUAGGGUCC